rnacentral:rRNA from 1 species
CCCUUAGAUGUUCUGGGCCGCACGCGCGCUACACUGACGAAUGCAACGGGCUUAUAACCUUGGCCGAAAGGUCUGGGUAAUCUCCAAAUUUCGUCGUGAUGGGGAUAGAUUAUUGCAAUUAUUAAUCUUCAACGAGGAAUGCCUAGUAAGCGCAAGUCAUCAGCUUGCGUUGAUUACGUCCCUGCCCUUUGUACACACCGCCCGUCGCUCCUACCGAUCGAAGAGUUAGGUGAAUUGUUUUGAUCGAUAAGAUUUGACUAUGGUCAACUCUCGUUGUGAAAUUCUGUGAAUCUGACUGUUUAGAGGAAGGAAAAGUCGUAACA